ensembl:lncRNA
GUUCCUCUACAAGUAAAACACUUUCUAAGUUUGUCUAGAUUUCAUUUACCUGUCUGUUGGAAAUGGGCCAUGUAUCUCUGUGCCAUUGUUUCAGACAUCCUGAGGAGUUUCUCUGACAGAUUCGAUAAAAUGCCUCUCACCUCAUCAUGGGUCAAAGUGAUUUUCAUCAUCUUGGCCGUUACUCUUUAUUCUGAAACUGCUCUUACAAAAACAUCAAGUUACAAGCAUUGGGUAGAAUGUGGUCCAUACAGUGGUGUGAAAACAUGCACAAAAGAAUAUCAUCCAGUCUUUGCAACCAAUGGCCACACUUAUUGCAAUAAAUGGUUUUUUUUGUGGUACACUCAAAAAAAGUGGUGGCAAAUUUGCUGUUGCUCAUUAUAGUGAAUGCUGACUUUUUCCUGGAGCAACACAUUCCUACAACUUCUACUGUGAUCCCAUUUUGCAGUGGAUUCUACAGACAAUUAGAGUUGCAGAGUCAGGGUCUUCCAUUCUUAGAGGACCAGGUGAACCCUGUAGAAUACAAGGUGGAAUGUAGUAUAUUCCAAGUUCUUUCUAACUUUAAGAUCCUUUCAUUUCAGCAUUUUUACUCUCUAUGUUCAGUUCUUCAAUGACAGUUUGAAAAAUUAGUAUCUUAGUUAUAUGUUUGAUAAUGUAAAACCUAAUGCAACUUAAAACCCUAAAUAUUUUGCUCCAUGAAAUGUUAAAUGGUGUUACAUAUUUUUUUAACAUGCCCCUUGUUUAUUUCGUUGGGUAAUGGGUUAAGACAUAAACAAUUUUUGAUACCUAUAGCCAAAAAGAUAUUUUCCAAAUAUGACCAAAUAUUAGAUUACUUGGGUAUUUAUAAAAAGUACAGGGCUUCCCUGGUGGCACAGUGGUUGAGAGUCUGCCUGCCGAUGCAGGGGACACAGGUUCGUGCCCCGGUCUGGGAGGAUCCCACAUGCUGUGGAGCGGCUGGGCCCAUGAGCCAUGGCCGCUGGAUUCUGUCUGUUCUAAAGAUUCAGAACUUCUAGGAGAGGUUUAUGGGAAAUUGAAAUCUAACAAGCACCCCAGGUAAUAUUAUGAUCAUGAAUCUUAGGUAAUACUGACUCUAAGACCUCGGGUAUGUCUAUAAUUGAAUAAAUUUCAGAACGUAUAGAAAGAUAAUAUAAGAUUUAUGAGGCUUGGGAAAAAUUUAUAUGUUUUUCAUUCUUGAUCACAAGUCAGUUGAGAGGUAAGUGGGUGCUCCUGGGAUGAGAGGCAACACGGCCUUUAUUGACUUAGGACUUGCUUUAUUAGGGCCAAGUCAGAUGUCUCUCCAUUAGUCUCAGUUUUCCAGCCACAAGAAGCAGGCUUUAGUUGUGUGCCCAAAGGAUCAUUCAGACCUUGAAUGUAGUGGCAGAAAUGUAGGUUGACUGUUGAAUGACAACUGGGAAUCUAUGACAUAUGCUAUGCUAGGCAUGCUGUUCUUAUCAAUAGAUACUUUUACAUCUAAAGAGUAAUCAGUGUGGGAGCUAUUAAAUCAUUUAAAAUCUCAAAUAUCCCUCUUAAGGAAAGUAUCCAUUAGAAUGUUAAUUUGUAGAGCAACGUUAUAAAAAUGCUUUCGGCCAAUUGCAGCACUUUUUCUUUGCAGAGGACUUUGUGAAAAAGUUCUUCAGUGAACAUGUGUAUUCAUUUAUGUAUUCUUUUUUAUUAAAUUCCACAUAAAUAAAGGUCUAUGUGUCAAGCCCUAUUUAGAUGCGAGAAAUAAGAUAACAAUGAUCAGCUCUGCUUUUACUUAUCAUCUAGGAAUUUAAAUGUUAUCGAUUAAAGUUAUUAUCCACUAAUGAAUGGAAAUCCUCGUUUUUGCAUGACUGUUCUCCUCAAAAGCUCUGUGAAACAGUUUUCUACAUGUUACCUAACUCAGUUCUUCUAAGAAUCACAUUAGGUAGACAUCAGCUCUCUAUUUUACAUAUAAUGAAAAUGAGACACAGGAAAUCUUACAGUAUUUUAAACCUGAUCUUUUGGUAAAGAGAGUUUGAAUACAAAGCUUGAAAUUUUAUUCUUUUUAAAAACCAGUUUAUUGUUGUAAUUACAUACCCAAAAUUAAUCAGUUUUAGACAUGAUGUAAUAAUUGAAAUAUAUAUAUAUAGAGGGAGAGAGAGAGAGGGAGAGAGAUAAGCAACCAUCACCACAAUUAAAGUUUAGAGUGUUUACAUCACCCCCAAAUAUUUGCCUCUCAUCCUUUGGAGGUCAUGCCCUCUUCCUACCCCCAACCCAAGGCAACUACUCAUCUACAUUGUAUUCUCUUGUUUUACCUUUUCUAGACAUUUUCUGUAAAGACAAUGAAACAGUAUGUUGUUUUUAUAUCUGCUUCUUUCAUUUUACAGGUUUUUGUGGUUCAUUCACACUGUAGCAUAUACAUCAGUAGUUCAUUACUUUUUAAUGUUCAGUAGUAUUCCAUUUUGUAUUGAUAUACCAUGUUUUGUUUUACUUUUUCACUAGGUUAUGAACACUGGAAUUGUUGCCACUUUUUGAUUAUUAAGAAAAAUGGUGCUAUGAACAUUACUAUACAAGUCUUUUUUUCUUUUCAUUUUUUCUUGGUUGAACACCCAAGAGUAGAAUGGAUGCUUUGUAUGGUAGGUUUAUCUUGCACUCUUCCAGAACCUAUCAGUGUAUUUUUCAAAGUGGCUGUAUAUUCUUAACCAUUCCCACCAGUAAUGUAUGAGAAUUCCGUUUCCUCCACAUCCUCACCAACAAUUGUUACUGUAUACCUCUUUUUUCUCUUCCAGUUUUAUUGAGAUAUAAUCGACAUACAGCACUGUGUAAGUUUAAGA